UAUUAUAUUAGUAUUGAGUUGUUCGAGUACACGAAUGAUAUAAGUGAGUCUAUGAAUUAAUGAACACAUUAAUUGAUUUGUUUUCAGUUUAAAAUUAUUUAUUUAUCGGUCCAUAAAGGAUUUAUCCAGAAACGAUUAAGAGUCUACAAACACAUGCAUUAAUACUGGAAUAUUGAUGAAAUGUGGAUUUUUUAAAUUAAUAAAGAAAACGCUGUGUAAACAGGAUGAUAUUUCAAAUAUUAGCUAUUCUUUGCGUCACUCGAUCAUGUUUGGCAGUGACGGUGAUAAUAAACGAGAAGGAGGUAGACUGCAAUGGACAUUGUGCUUGCUGUGAAGGAGGGAAGACUGGAUGUGUAUUCGCUGAUGGAAAAUCUGAUUAUUGUUCUAAAGGAUGUGUAAACACAAUAUACGGACACAGAUGCAAAAACUCAUGUCCUCUUAACUGCAAUACUUGCGAAAAAAGCGUUGGCAGGCCGUGUUUCACUUGCAAGGAUUCGUUUUACGAUAUAAAUAGUGCUUGUAGCAUGAGAUGUCCUGUUUGGUGUGAUGGUCCUUGU